AUUGAACGCUGGCGGCAUGCCUUACACAUGCAAGUCGAACGGCAGCACGGGAGCAAUCCUGGUGGCGAGUGGCGAACGGGUGAGUAAUAUAUCGGAACGUGCCCAGUCGUGGGGGAUAACGUAGCGAAAGCUACGCUAAUACCGCAUACGAUCUAUAGAUGAAAGCGGGGGAUCGCAAGACCUCGCGCGAUUGGAGCGGCCGAUAUCAGAUUAGGUAGUUGGUGAGGUAAGGACUCACCAAGCCGACGAUCUGUAGCUGGUCUGAGAGGACGACCAGCCACACUGGGACUGAGGCAGGCCCAGACUCCUACGGGAGGCAGCAGUGGGGAAUUUUGGACAAU
rnacentral:rRNA from 1 species